rnacentral:rRNA from 1 species
UACGUAGGGGGCAAGCGUUAUCCGGAAUCAUUGGGCGUAAAGCGCGUGUAGGCGGUUCCGUAAGUCCGCUCUGAAAGCCCAGGGCUCAACCCUGGGAGGCGGGUGGAUACUACGGAACUGGAGUACGGAAGAGGAGAUUGGAAUUCCUGGUGUAGCGGUGAAAUGCGCAGAUAUCCGGAGGAACACCAACAGCGAAGGCAGAUCUCUGGGACGUUACUGACGCUGAGACGCGAAAGCGUGGGGGAGCAAACAGG